rnacentral:rRNA from 1 species
UACGUAGGGGGCAAGCGUUGUCCGGAUUUAUUGGGCGUAAAGAGCGUGUAGGCGGUUUGGUAGGUCCGCUGUGAAAACUCGAGGCUCAACCUCGAGACGCCGGUGGAAACCAUCAGGCUAGAGUCCGGAAGAGGAGAGUGGAAUUCCUGGUGUAGCGGUGAAAUGCGCAGAUAUCAGGAAGAACACCCGUGGCUAAGGCGACUUACUGGACACAUAUUGACGCUGAGGUGCGAAAGCGUGGGGAGCAAACAGG